GACGAACGCUGGCGGCGUGCCUAAUACAUGCAAGUAGAACGCAGUUGCGAACGGGUGAGUAACGCGUAGGUAACUGCCUCAUAGCGGGGGAUAACCAAUGGAAACGAUAGCUAAUACCGAAUACUGUGAGAUGAACCAGCGUUGUAUUAGCUAGUUGGUGAGGUAAAGGUUCACCAGGGCGACGAUACAUAGCCGACCUGAGAGGGUGAUCGGCCACACUGGGACUGAGACACGGCCCAGACUCCUACGGGAGGCAGCAGUGGGGAAUUUUGGACAAUGGGGGCAACCCUGAUCCAGCCAUGCCGCGUGUAUGAAGAAGGCCUUCGGGUUGUAAAGUACUUUUGUUAGGGAAGCGUUACCUAAAGAAUAAGCACCGGCUAACUACGUGCCAGCAGCCGCGGUAAUAC
rnacentral:rRNA from 1 species